UGAGGAAUAUUGGUCAAUGGGCGUAAGCCUGAACCAGCCAAGUCGCGUGAGGGAUGAAGGUUCUAUGGAUCGUAAACCUCUUUUAUAAGGGAAUAAAGUGCGGGACGUGUCCUGUUUUGUAUGUACCUUAUGAAUAAGGAUCGGCUAACUCCGUGCCAGCAGCCGCGGUAAUACGGAGGAUCCGAGCGUUAUCCGGAUUUAUUGGGUUUAAAGGGUGCGUAGGCGGCCUUUUAAGUCAGCGGUGAAAGUCUGUGGCUCAACCAUAGAAUUGCCGUUGAAACUGGGAGGCUUGAGUAUGUUUGAGGCAGGCGGAAUGCGUGGUGUAGCGGUGAAAUGCUUAGAUAUCACGCAGAACCCCGAUUGCGAAGGCAGCAUACCGGCGCUCAACUGACGCUGAGGCACGAAAGCGUGGGGAUCGAACAGGAUUAGAUACC
rnacentral:rRNA from 1 species